rnacentral:rRNA from 1 species
UACGAAGGGGGCUAGCGUUGCUCGGAAUCACUGGGCGUAAAGCGCACGUAGGCGGCUUUCUAAGUCAGGGGUGAAAUCCUGGAGCUCAACUCCAGAACUGCCUUUGAUACUGGAGAGCUUGAGUCCGGGAGAGGCGAGUGGAACUCCGAGUGUAGAGGUGAAAUUCGUAGAUAUUCGGAAGAACACCAGUGGCGAAGGCGGCUCACUGGCCCGGUACUGACGCUGAGGUGCGAAAGCGUGGGGAGCAAACAGG